rnacentral:ribozyme from 1 species
AUAUCAACAGGAAAAGACCAAAGGACCGUUAUGUAAAGACAGUGAAGAUCUUAAGAAUAUUUACAAGCUCUAUAAUCUUUUCUUAUAUCUUUUUAUUUCCUUUUUCUAUCAUCUCUUUGGUAUAGAUUACAAGAAACCCAUUAUUUGGAAAGGAGAUAGAUCCCUUGUAGAUAUUGUAAAA